rnacentral:rRNA from 1 species
GUAGGGAAUAUUGGACAAUGGGGGGAACCCUGAUCCAGCCAUGCCGCGUGGAGGAAGACUGCCCUCUGGGUUGUAAACUCCUUUUAUAUGGGAAGAACCGUCCUCAUUAAUGAGUGACCUGACGGUACCAUAGGAAUAAGCACCGGCUAACUCCGUGCCAGCAGCCGCGGUAAUACGGAGGGUGCAAGCGUUAUCCGGAUUCACUGGGUUUAAAGGGUGCGUAGGAGGAUAAAUAAGUCAGUGGUGAAAUCAACGGGCUCAACCUGUUAACUGCCAUUGAUACUGUGUAUCUUGAAUAUGAGAGAGGUAGGCGGAAUGUUGCAUGUAGCGGUGAAAUGCUUAGAUAUGCUACGGAACACCGAUUGCGAAGGCAGCUUACUAUUUCGUAAUUGACGCUGAGGCACGAAAGCGUGGGUAGCGAACAGGAUUAGAAACCCUGGUAGUCC